rnacentral:rRNA from 1 species
AGUAACUGCGAGUGAAGUGGCAAAAGCUCAAAUUUGAAAUCCGGUACCUUCAGGUGCCUGAGUUGUAAUUUGGAGAGACAAAUUUGGUCGAUGGCUCCGGCCUAGGUUCCUUUGAACAGGACAACAUAGAGGGUGAGAAUCCCGUGCCUGGCUGGGAAAUGGCUAUCGCAUUGCUACUUUGUCUUCGACGAGUCGAGUUGUUUGGGAAUGCAGCUCAAAAUGGGUGGUAAAUGUCAUCUAAAGCUAAAUAUUGGCGAGAGACCGAUAGCGCACAAGUAGAGUGAUCGAAAGAUGAAAAGCACUUUGAAAAGAGAGUCAAAAAGUACGUGAAAUUGCUGAAAGGGAAGCGCUUGAGAUCAGACUCGAACCGUGGUGCUCACCCGUGCUUCUGUGCGGUGUCACUGGCCGCGGUUUGGGCCAGCAUCGGUUCCGGCGGCUAGAUAAAAGGUGGUGGAAUGUAGCUUCCUUCGGGGAGUGUUAUUUUAGCCACCACCACAAUGUGGCCAGCUGGAACCGAGGACUGCGCGGAAAUUCCGCUAGGAUGCUGGUGCAAUGGUCUUAAGCGACCCGUCUUGAAACACGGACCAAGGAGUCUAACAUCUAUGCGAGUGUUCGGGUGGAAAACCCUUGCGCGAAAUGAAAGUGAACCGAGGUGGGAACCCGCAAGGGUGAACCAUCGACCGAUCCUGAAGUC